GUGGGCUGCGGUCGACGAUUCCUACGGGAGGCAGCAGUGAGGAAUAUUGGACAAUGGAGGCAACUCUGAUCCAGCCAUGCCGCGUGCAGGAAGACUGCCCUAUGGGUUGUAAACUGCUUUUAUACAGGAAGAAUAGUACCUACGUGUAGGUAUUUGACGGUACUGUACGAAUAAGGAUCGGCUAACUCCGUGCCAGCAGCCGCGGUAAUACGGAGGAUCCAAGCGUUAUCCGGAAUCAUUGGGUUUAAAGGGUCCGUAGGCGGUCUGAUAAGUCAGAGGUGAAAUCCUGCAGCUCAACUGUAGCAUUGCCUUUGAUACUGUUAGACUUGAGUUAUUGUGAAGUAGUUAGAAUGUGUGGUGUAGCGGUGAAAUGCAUAGAUAUCACACAGAAUACCGAUUGCGAAGGCAGAUUACUAACAAUAUACUGACGCUGAGGGACGAAAGCGUGGGUAGCGAACAGGAUUAGAUACCCUGGUAGUCCACGCCGUAAACGAUGGAUACUAGCUGUUCGAUCAACAUUGGUUGGUUGAGUGGCUAAGCGAAAGUGAUAAGUAUCCCACCUGGGGAGUACGCUCGCAAGAGUGAAACUCAAAGGAAUUGACGG
rnacentral:rRNA from 1 species